rnacentral:rRNA from 1 species
CGGGGUGGAGUACAGCGGCGGACGGGUGAGUAACACGUGAGUGAUCUACCCGGCGGCGGGGGACAACCCAGGGAAACCUGGGCUAAUACCGCAUACAGCGGAGGGAGUGGAUGCCCUUCGUGAAAGCUGGCCUCUCCAUGGAAGCUAGCACCGCCGGAGGAGCUCGCGGCCUAUCAGCUAGUUGGUGGGGUAACGGCCUACCAAGGCUAUGACGGGUAGCUGACGUGAGAGCGUGAGCAGCCACACUGGGACUGAGACACGGCCCAGACUCCUACGGGAGGCAGCAGUGGGGAAUAUUGCGCAAUGGGCGAAAGCCUGACGCAGCGACGCCGCGUGGGGGAGGAAGGCCUUAGGGUUGUAAACCCCUGUCAGGUGGGACGAACCCCGGGUCGGUAAAUAAUCGGCUCGACUGACGGUACCACCAGAGGAAGCUCCGGCUAACUCCGUG